rnacentral:rRNA from 1 species
UGGAAAGCUCAAAAGUCGUAACAAGGUUUCGAUCUCGCAUCGAGCAAGUGAUCCUUCCCAAGAAUCAUGUGCGGAAGCCUUGGAAUGCACCCAUUAACUGUGGAAGGACUGGGCGACUUGACCCAAAAAUUUAAUCCAGUCCGCGUGCAAGUCGGCCUCAGGCCGGCGACACUUUCGAAUUGCGGGGAUCUCCUAAAGCCCUCCACACCAAGCUCGCCGGGGAAACUCGGCAGUGGCCUGCGGUAAUGACGCAGGGUACGGUAACAGCUGGUAGGGAUGAUGGGAAGCCAGCUUGGUUUCUUUGAAAUGGACAAUCCGCCUCGGAGCCUCUACCCGCCUGCCUUGUGCCGGCACAUGAGGAACGUUCACAGACUAAGUGGAAGUGGAUGGGGCCCAAAGCCCUGUUUAAGAUAUAGUCGGGCCUGGAGGGAAACCUCUGGGAUUUGCUCUUGGACACCGUUCCGUAGGUGAACCUGCGGAAGGAUCAUUA